CGGGCCUCAAAGUAUUCGGUAAGUAAAGUUCGAGAUUCGAUUCGAUACUAAACAAACCAAACUUGAACACACCACUAUUCGGUUCGGCUCGGUUCGAUUACACCCCUAAAUAUAAAACAUCCUUAUUCACCUCUCUCUAGUUUUUUCGUGAUCAUAUUUCUCUCUCUAAAACGUCGACAUUCAACUACAGCGCCUGCGAGCUCAGAUUUUCUCUGCUGGUUUUUAAUUCCCUCUCAUAUUCGACCGUUUCCUUUUUCUGAGCUGCUCACAAAUGGCUUGAAACUCGCAUUUUCGGUGUUUUUCUGGCAGGCGAGGUUCGUUUCGUCCCACCGAAUUUGCUAUGGAAUGAGGGACCCACACCACAACGUGACCCCCUUCACCUGUGUGGGCCCGCUUUCCAACCUAUGCACAACUCACUCUUACCUGAAUUCCACACAUUUUUGACUUUGUAUACAGAAUUUUUGGUUUAAUAUAAUAGUAUUAUCAUUUGGGUUUUCUUA